AUGAUUUUCUAUUUCCAGUUUGGAUUAAAUAUGUUUGCGGAGAUCCCCCGGCCCUUUAAUACACAAUAUAAAUGUUUCUCCGUAUCUAUGUUACCUGGAAAUGAGAGGCAAGAUGUGGAACGGGGAGGAAAAAUUAUUAUGCCACCUUCGGCAUUGGAACAACUCACCAGAUUAAAUAUUGUUUAUCCAAUGUUGUUCAAACUAACUAAUAAGAAGACUAAUAGAAUUACCCACUGUGGGGUACUAGAAUUUGUGGCGGAUGAGGGAAAAGUUUAUCUUCCUUAUUGGAUGAUGCAUAACCUAUUAUUAGAGGAAGGAGAAUUAUUAAAUAUUGAAAGUGUAUCAUUACCUGUGGCUAUAUUUUCUCGCUUUCAACCUCAGUCUGAAGAUUUCUUAGACAUUACAAAUCCAAAGGCAGUGUUAGAAAAUGGUUUGAGAAGUUUUGCCUGUUUGACGACAGGUGAUAUAAUUGCUAUAAGGUAUAAUCAACGAAUUUAUGAAAUGUGCGUCCUUGAAACAAGACCAGGCCCAGCAGUUAGCAUUAUCGAGUGUGAUAUGAAUGUGGAGUUUGCUCCACCGGUUGGUUAUAAAGAACCAGAGAAAGAAGUCAAAACAGAAGAUGAUGCAGUGGAUCCAACAGAAUUAAUGCCAGCCCCAGCUGGUUUUGUUCCAUUUAAAGGACAGGGUAACAGAUUAAACGGAAAGAAACGGAAAGAUUCUGGGCAGUCAGAUAUUCUCUCUGAGAAGCCAGUUUACAUCAGAGGCAUUCCUGAUUAUGAUUACAAGAUUGGCACUCUGAAGUUCCUGCGUAAUAUAAAACCUGCUAACACCAAGGAGGUAAAGGAUCAAGAUGAAUUUAAGGCUUUCACAGGGGAAGGAUUUUCCCUUCGUAAAUCAAGAAAAUAAUUGUAUUUAGGCCCACCACGAGGAGGUUGCCGCUCCAGAAAAUUCUAAUUCCGCGUGACUCAAUUCGCGGGGCAAAAGCAGAUGUUAACGAUGCAGAUGACCGCACGACCACACAAACGUCUGUGACGCACGCUUCAUCUUGGCCGCUAAGGGGAAGCGUGCGCCAUUAAGCGAAAGUCAGAAUCGCACAACGUGUUGCAGCUUUGCAUCGCCCACGGCUUAAUUUCUGUACAGAUGAACGGCGCUUAUACUAAACGCAGGGUUUUCUUCGACGUCCUUGAUCCCUUCUGGUGGUUGCAGACAGCGUCCCCAGUCUUUAGCGUCUUCUUUGCUUUUGGUUCAAAAUUUUCGAAGGGACUUUUGGGAUCCUCGUCCCGAGGAAGAUACGGGAGGGGAGCCUAAUCGGACGAUUUUAACUGUCUGCUUAACAGGUGGUGGGGUCGGUUCUUGUUAUCCGGAUAAAUUUUGAUUUGUCCAAAAAUGUAGGUAGGUGGGGGAUUAGAAUUUUAUGAAAUUCGAGAGUCCGUAAUUACCGUGCCGUCUCUUCUCCCGACCGACUCCUGGACGCAGGUAUCUGGAAAAGGUACCCUUGUACUCCCAUUGCAUCAUCUUAAAGUUACGGAUUUUUCGUUAAGGUGACCUGAAAGGGGCAAUCGAGGGGUCAGUAGUUUCCGAAAUAUUUCUCAGAACUAGGUGUACCGAAUCGUUUGAAAUUUUAUAACGCGAGGAUAAAGACCUUAAGAAAGGGCUUGAUAACCAUUAAAUUCUAUUUUUGUGAAGAAACUCUCCUAAGUGCCGCGAUACGGUAAAGUUUCAUAAUCGAGCGCUGAGAGGUAAGUUGUGAGCAGAGAUGAGUUGGAUCCCUGAGUUGGGCCGCCGUUGGGGGCAAGUCCGUUAGCCGCCUGCAUUCUCCAUCGAGGGCAGCACGGAACGCGAUCGUGCGACCCUGCCUACGAGCGAUCUCACAACUCAUCUCUGUUUAUGAAUAGUAGGACCUUAACGUCGGUGGAUGGGGAUUUGGGUCACUUUAAAGGACGAAGUUACACUCGUAACGGAACUAUCAGGGUUGCUAAGCUGAUCGAAUAUGCAAAUUAACUGUCUAACGGAUAAGUAAACAUUUUGUGUCUGCAAUCUGCUUUUACGUGAUCCCAACUAUAUAUGAUCCCAUACAGACAACGCUUUGAUAAAAAUAAACAGAGUGUUCAUUAUUCUUAUUACGUAAUACAUUUUAUCGAAAUAAGUUACGUUUAUUGUACGUCACAGUUGUGGGUAAUCGAUGGUUCACCCGGCAUUUAAGGUGGUAACAACGAAUAUUCGAAUUUCCAGUUUCUCUGUCCACGAGAAAUCUCUUUUGUUUCUAGCAGUGGUUGUAAACGUUAGAAAUUUUCUGGAAAAAAGAUUUUGUUCUAUUAA
rnacentral:misc_RNA from 1 species